CUGGAUAAAGAAAAAGUAGAUAAUUAAGUAAAUCAUUGAAUAAAUAAAUAAACAGGCUUGUCAGUGGUAGGUGCUCCAGAGUGGGGUAAGAUGACAAAAACAUCUUCUUCCCUGGGCCUUUUUAUGUCUGGAACAGCUGAGCACAACCACUGAUUUAUUCCUCGAGAAGUGUGACAUGAAUUGUGAUGCAGGCCUAGGACUCUGAGACAGUUAACAAGAGGCUCAGAGAGAGAUUGGCUGACCCACAGCUACUGCCCUGAGACUGAGUAGUGUAGUGGGGAGGCCAAUAGAGGGAGAUAAAUGAAGUGCCAUCUAAUUAAGAAACAGGGCAAUGGCUCAUCCUAGGGCUGAGAAGGAAAGAGAGGCUGCUUCUACCAGGUUCUCCAUCCUGCAACACAAGGUAUGUCCGGCUUUGGUAUCAGGAUGCUGCUGGCCUCAUCAAAUGAGUUAGGGAGGAUUCCCUCUUUUUCUAUUGAUUGGAAUAGUUUCAGAAGGAAUGGUACCUGCUCCUCUUUAUACCUCUGGUAGAAUUCGGCUGUGAAUCCGUCUGGUCCUGGACUUUUUUUGUCUAGGACAGCAGUUGGUUGACAUUUAAAGGGCUACUGUCCCAGAAGGCUGCUUGCCUGGGCCCAUGGCACUGCCAGAAAUCACAAGACUAAGCUGAAAAAGCACAAAGAAGUUUCCUUUCAUUCCAGGAACCUCUUGGCUUGAAUAUGAAAUAGCCUCUUAGUGACACUACACUGCAAUUUCAAAUAAUAGGUUUUUUAUCACCUCUUUGAGAAAUAUCACCUUGGGUUCAUCCCAGAAAAAUAAUACAAAGUAGAAUUUUUUCAAACGUAAUCCCCUUGGGUUCCUCUCAGAAAAAAAUAGAAAGUAGAAUUCUUUCAAACUUAAUCCCCUCUUUGUAUUUGUCUCCUCUGCAUCUCUCCAAAGUAGAUGGGUAGGAGAGGGAAACAGUGCUGUAGAAAAUGGGACAAGAACACACCCUAAUAAAACAAGAAAACAUGGUUUGCCAGAGGUCUCCUUUCCCAGGCUCAAGCCUCAAGUUUCUAAUUGUCCCUACAUUACUCCCACAAAUGCCUUUCUGGGAGAGUCUUGUAUGCUAGACCUCUGCCAUCUUCCCAUCCUUUCUCCCUUCCUCCUAACCUUCACUCUUGAGAAAGACUCAUCCUGGCUUCUGUGUCCAUAGAACCUUGAAGCAGCUUUCUGGUGAGGAGGUGAGCUACUUCCUGCAAAACUACUAGUAGCUGCUAUUGAUUAAUGUAUUCUUCCAACCAGGUAAUGUAUUCCUGUUCCAACAGAAGUCUUCUUGAGACAUAUCUGAAAGUGACAUAGUAACCAGAAGGAAGAUUUUUGGAGGGUUCUUGAACUAGCUCUACAUAGGAAACUGCCAACAAUAACUUCCUGUGGCAUUUGUUAAGUUGUGAUUCUGCCCCUCACUGCUUGACUUAGUCCUCUUGACAAGGGCCAGGAGGAGAAAACAGGUCUCAAAGAACAGUGUACAUCAAAGCCUGGCUUUCCAGCAAUGCCUGACCCUGCCAAAGAAGGCAGGGAAGCCCCCACAGAGCCUCUUAGAAACCUCAACUCCCUCAGCCUCUUGUCCCAGAGCAUCACUGGCAGGUAUAGACCAAGCAUAUCCACAUCCACACGUACGUCUUUUUUGCUUUUAUUCAUUUUAGUUUAUAACAACUAUUUAUUUAGGACGUGGUUCUGUGAGCUGUUAAAUUGUUCUAUUGUCAGAUCAUAGCUGUAUACAUUUGUGGGGUGUCAAAACGAUGUUUUAACAUAUACAUACAAUCAGUGUGAUUAAAUCAAGCUAAUUAACACAUCCAUCACCUUGCUUACCUAUCUUUUUUAUGGUGAGACAUUUGAAAUUUACUCUCUUAGUUGUUUUGAAAUAUACAAUGCAGUAUUAUUGACUAUAGUCACCCUGGUAUACAAUAUAUCUCAAAAUCUAUCCCUACUGUCUCUCUGAAACUUUGUACCCUUUGAUUAACAACUCCCAUUCCCCUUUCAAUCUGAAACAUUGUACCCUUUCAUCAGCAACUCCUCAUUCCCUCCCUCCCAGCCCACUCUUAGCCUCUUUCUACUCUCUAUUUCUAUGAGUUCAACUUUGUUAGAUUUUUACAUGUAAGUGAGAUCAUGCAGCAUUUGUCUUUCUGUGCCUGGUUUAUUUUACUUAGCAUAAUGUCCUUCAGAUUCAUCCGUGUUGAUGCAAGUGACAGGAUUUCUCCCUUUUUAAGGCUGAAUAAUUUUCUAUUGUGUAUGUUUCACAUUUCCUUUAUACACUCAUCCAUUGAUGGAUACCUAAGUUGUUUCAU
rnacentral:lncRNA from 1 species